GGAGAGGCAAGAAAUCAAAGUGGGCUGAGUGGUUGCUUCUCCAGCAUGAAAUUCCCUGUUGGUUAAGCAGGCCUUCCAUCUGCUGUGAAGGUGAGUCCUGGGAGAAUGCUGCAGGAAGCAUGAAGACCAUCUCAGGAUGUCAUCCACUUCUUCUGGUUUUUCCUGGCCUGAAGACCACAGAAAUCACCACAGCACAUUAUCUUGAUCACUGGUCAUCUUGUUGGCAUCAUUUUCCAAACCCUACUGUGCAAGUAGUUCCUACUGAGUGCUAGUGGCUGAGCACAUCUUCGAAGCAUGCCCAAACUCUCUGUAGUAAAUAAAGAUGAGCUUUUCUCAUAAC